UGGGGAAUAUUGGACAAUGGGCGCAAGCCUGAUCCAGCCAUGCCGCGUGGGUGAAGAAGGCCCUAGGGUUGUAAACCCCUUUCAGCGGGGAAGAUAAUGACGGUACCCGCAGAAGAAGCCCCGGCUAACUCUGUGCCAGCAGCCGCGGUAAUACAGAGGGGGCAAGCGUUGUCCGGACUUACUGGGCGGAAAGCGCACGCAGGUGGUAAGGCAAGUGGGGUGUGAAAGCCGCCAGCUUAACUGGCGGAGGUCAUCCCAAACUGCUUCACUUGAGGCCUGUAGAGGUAUGUGGAAUUGCCGGUGUAGUGGUGAAAUGCGUAGAGAUCGGCAGGAACACCCAGGGGGAAACCAGCAUACUGGACAGGACCUGACACUCAGGUGCGACAGCGUGGGGAGCGAACCGGAUUAGAUACCCCCGUAGUCC
rnacentral:rRNA from 1 species